rnacentral:piRNA from 1 species
GGAACUACUUGAGCCACUGCUGAAC